rfam:Lactobacillus senioris DSM 24302 = JCM 17472 strain DSM 24302 NODE_26, whole genome shotgun sequence.
UAGAGCACCUGACUGUUAAUCAGGUUGUCGACGGUUCGAGCCCGCCUGCCGGAG